rnacentral:rRNA from 1 species
UGGGGAAUAUUGCACAAUGGGGGAAACCCUGAUGCAGCGACGCCGCGUGAACGAAGAAGGUAUUCGUAUCGUAAAGUUCUGUCCUAUGGGAAGAUAAUGACAGUACCAUAGAAGAAAGCUCCGGCUAAAUACGUGCCAGCAGCCGCGGUAAUACGUAUGGAGCGAGCGUUGUCCGGAAUGAUGGGGCGUAAAGGGUACGCAGGCGGUUUAAUAAGUCGCAUGUUAAAGAUCGGCGCUCAACCCCGCAAAGCAUUGGAAACUGAUCAACUUGAGUAGUGUAGAGGAAAGUGGAAUUCCUAGUGUAGUGGUGAAAUACGUAGAUAUUAGGAGGAAUACCAGUAGCGAAGGCGACUUGCUGGACACAAACUGUCGCUGAGGUACGAAAGCGUGGGGAGCAAACAGG